GAUGAAGAACGUAGCGAAAUGCGAUACGUAAUGUGAAUUGCAGAAUUCAGUGAAUCAUCGAGUCUUUGAACGCACAUUGCGCCCCCUGGUAUUCCGGGGGGCAUGCCUGUCCGAGCGUCAUUGCUGCCCUCAAGCACGGCUUGUGUGUUGGGCCUCCGUCCUCCUCCCGGGGGACGGGCCCGAAAGGCAUCGGCGGCACCGCGUCCGGUCCUCGAGCGUAUGGGGCUUCGUCACCCGCUCUUGUAGGCCCGGCCGGCGCUUGCCGACACAUCAAUCUUUUUUCCAGGUUGACCUCGGAUCAGGUAGGGAUACCCGCUGAACUUAAGCAUAUCAAUAAGCGGAGGA
rnacentral:misc_RNA from 1 species